GCUGGGCGUGGUGGUGGGCGCCUGUAAUCCCAGCUACUAGGGAGGCUGAGGCAGGAGAAUCACUUGAACCCAGGAGGCUGAGGUUGCAGUGAGCUGAGAUCGCGCCACUGCACUCCAGCCUGGGCGAUAGAGUGAGACUCCAUCUCAA
rnacentral:SRP_RNA from 2 species